rnacentral:lncRNA from 1 species
CAGACUUGCAGAGAGAAGCGGAGGGGAAAUCUGCUAGGGCUCAUGCCCUCCUCGGAAUACACGUGCAGCAAACUCGGAGGAAAAGAAGACUGCAUCUCCGGUACAGCCCAUUAUAAGAGAGGAGAAAGGAACAUGCGCCCCACAGGUGAGGAUGUAGGCUUUUGCGUUGUCUAAAACUGGGACAAGUCUCAGGGUAAACUGGGCACUGCCUAGAGGCUGCAGAUCACUUUGUGUUCUCCAGGGCAGGACUGGCGGGUUGCACCUAGAACCCCCCAAAGGCAGUGAAGGCCCGAGGAAGCGGAAGACAAAACUGAACUGAUUCAGGCUGUGUCGACACGCACACCGUGUAAUAGAUUUGGGGGCAUUAAAGUUAAUAGUUUGCAACUUAUUUUAUUUCUGUUGAGCUCGCCUGCAUGGCUCAAUUUAUCCAAGCGUCCUUUGACCCAAUGCACUUAAAAACAGGAAAGGAACCCCAUUUAUUGUAAACAUAAAAAAGGAAAGAUAGGGAUGGAAACAAUGCCCGGUGUCAAAGGCUCUCACGGGUGUGGAGGACACAUCUUCUUGUGAAUGAUAUAGGCUAUGGGAGUUAGAAAGCCAGUGUUUCUUCUAGAAGGGCAGGUGCUCAUAUUUCCAGUCAUGGGGAAGGAGGGUGGUCCUAGGGCAUAGCCUUGAUAGGAAGUCAGCAAAAGCAACUGUAGAGCCCAACCCAUAUCUCCCCACCCCAACUUCUGUAGCCCGGCUUCUCACUGGCCCACACUUCCAAGGUUGCCACAUCAGGGAGGAAAUGUGGGUAUGCUCAUGUGUGCAUGCAUAGGCUUUAUUUUUCACUGGCUUAUUUUCUCUUAAGACCCAGACAGAGGAGAAUGUCUGAUUACUUUUCAUCCGUGAUGUGUUUGAGCCACUGUCUAAACUUUAAAUUGCAUUACGUCCUUUAAACUCUUUCUUUUCUUCUUGUCUAGCGAGAGUGGGGAGUCAUUAGUGAGAAACAUUGUACACACAGUCUCAAAUGCAUCUUCUUUAAAUCCUAACUCUCCAAGUUUGAUAAUUAAAACAAAACCCAAACUUGGGCACAUAUGCAUUGUAACAGAAAAAAAUUGUCGGCCAAUUUGUUGAGGCCAGAUGGUGGGCAGUGAAGAAUAAAAUUAGGUUUAGGAAUUGGGGGAGGCUGGGAUGUAGUAGAUUUUACAAAGUAUUCAUGAGUAGAGUUAUUUAUUUUAGGGACAUGUAGGCCUAUGUGAUGUGGGCCAAGUUCAGAGUCCAAGGUUUCUAUGCCAACUGGGGGAAAGAUCAGGUCGGGAAUGGAUUUCAAUUAAACCAAAUGACAGGAAUAACCAGAAAGCAGAUUUGGGGCAGAAAGAGGUCAGAAAACUGCCAUGAGAUCCGUGAGUAGGGACAGAUGGGCCAAAAAGGAGGGGAGAACCACGAGGCUGCUUUCCCGCUUCCUGUGCUGGUUAGCCGUUGUCCUUCAGUGUAAGCAGGUUAAGUGUGCAGCUAUGUGCUACGAGCUCCAGAGGAAAGCACACUAAUAAGUAAGGCUUCUUUUUGGCUACUGGAAGCUGAAAUUUUACUUGUCCAAGUGUUUGUUUGUUUGUUUUCAUUGUAAUCAUAAAAUUCCACCUACUUGAACACUCCCAAGUUUUGGUAGGAAAUUAAAUGUUUGGACUGUGAUUCUGAGGUUGACAUUUUAAAUAUUUUCUCUAAAAUUAGAAGCUUCCAUAACAUUGCGAUGGCCAAACAAACUUGAUUCCCAGGUCUUUAGACUUAUUUUGCUAAGUGCUUGGCUGUGGUAUUAUCAUUUCAGUUUGAGUAUACGGCUCAGGAAUGAAGAACACCUCUCUCGCAUCAUGUCCUAAAUUAGUAAAAAUGGUCGAUGCUGUAAUGAGGUGAGUUGGCAUGGGAGUGAAGCAGGAAAGUGCUGGCUGUGUCUUCAUCACUUACGGCAAGCCUGCUCCCAUGGGCCUGGCACCAGCAGCUUCUAAGCAGAUGGUUUUAUAUUUGUGUUCUUUUAGUGGCUGCACUUCAUUUUUUAAAAAAUGAACCUCAGGUGCACAAAAUUGGGUUACUUGUAAUUCUGGGUGUGUGGAAAGCUAUCAUACAUUCAUCUAUAUCUCUUUUUAUUUAUUUAGUUUCCUUUACUAAUCAUCCCCGGUUCCAAUUUUCAUGUCUCCCCAUCAAAGGCAUCCACUCUCGUGUCUUUACUUACAAUAAAUGUUAUUGUGUUAAACAUCUUAUUCUGGUUCAUAAUUUUUUACAUUUAGUAUUGCGACCCCGUCAUUUACAUAUAUCACAUUUUGGUUUUCAUUUCCUAUCGGUGAACAUCUAGGGGAUGUCAGACUUUCUAUUACAGAGUGCUGCAGUAAAUAUUUUUAAAAUUAAUUUUACAUUUUUAUGUCCCUGUGCAUAUGUGUUUUUUUUCCCCUGGGAGACAUAGGAUAUAAACAUAAUGAAUUUUCAUUAAGUACUUUUAAAUGGGUCCUCAAAAUGAGCACACAAUCCUCCCUGCAAUAUUUAAAAGAGAUCCAGUAAAGGAAGCCAUUCAUUGAACUGACAGGGUAUGCCUCCCCCUACCCCCAGCUUUAUUGAGGUAUAAUUGAAAUAUAACAUUGUGUAAGUUGAAGGUAUAUAGCAUGUUGAUUUGAUACACUUAUAUACUGUAAAAUGAUGACCACAGUAGGGUUUAGUUAACGCCUCCAUCACCUCACAAAAUUACUAUUUUUUUGUGUGCAUGCAAACAUUUAAGAUUUACUUAGCAACUUUUAGGUAUACAAUACAGUAUUUUUAACUACAGUCACCAUGCUGUUUAUUAAAUCCUCAGAACCUAUUCACUUAAAUUGAAAGUUUGUGUCCUUUGACCAACAUCUGCUAUUGCCCCCCACCCUCCCCGCCCCAAUCCCAGCCUCUGAGAACCCCCAUUCCGCUCUCUGUUUCUAUGAGUUUGGCUUUUUUAGAUUCCACAUAUAACUGAUAUAGUAUUUGUCUUUCUCUGAUUUAUUCCACCUAGCUUGAUGUCCUCAAGGUUCAUCCGUGUUGUCGUAAAUGGCAAGACUUCCUUCUUCCUCAGGGCUUAGUAAUAUUCCAGUGUGUGUGUGUGUGUGUGUGUGUGUGUGUGUGUGUGUAAUCUCAGUUUAAAAAAAAUUUUUUUUUAACAUUUAUUUUUGAGACAGAAAGAGACAGCAUGAACGGGGGAGGGUCAGAGAGAGGGAGUCACAGAAUCCGAAACAGGCUCCAGGCUCCGAGCUGUCAGCACAGAGCCCGACGCGGGGCUCGAACUCACGGACUGCGAGAUCGUGACCUGAGCCGAAGUCGGCCGCUCAACCAACUGAGCCACCCAGGCACCCCUAAUCUCAUAUUUUAAAAAAAUACAUUCAUCUAUAGAUAGUCACUUAGGUUGUUUUCACACCUUGGCUAUUGUGAAUAAGGUUGCAAUGAAUAUGGGAGUGAGUGCAGGAAUCUCUUGGAGAUACUGAUUUCCUACCUUUAGAUACCAACCCAGGAGCGGGAUUGCUGGAUCACACGGUAGUUCUGUAUUUAAUUUUCUGAGGAAUUACCAUGCUGUUCCUGAUAAUGGCUAUGCCAAUUUACAUAUCCACCAACAGGGUAUAAGGUUUCUUUUUCUCCAUGUCCUUGCCAGUUUAUCUCUUAUCUUUUGCAAAAUAACCAUUCUAACAGGUGUGAGGUGAUACCUGAAAAAAAAUAACUUACGUAAAGCAAAAAUAGUUGCCUGGUAAGAAGUGUGGGAUCUGGGUGAAAGGUAUUUGUGAGCUCUUUGUACCUGCAACUUUUCUGUAAUUUUGAAAUUAUUGUAAAAUAAAAAGCUAGGCAAGAAAGAAUCGACAAUCAGGUAAGAAGUCAUAAAACAUGUUGAGAUCAAUGUAAGUAGGCAUUAAUAAUAAAUAAUAACCAUUUUCGAAGUUAAAAACAGUGCGACACGAAAGUACUGCAUAUUGCAUGGCUUGUAUGGCAACAAUGAUUUUGUAUGCAUUGAACGAUACAUCUUAAAAAUAUAUAAAGCAAUAUUUAACAGAACUGCAAGACAAAAUUAAUGUAGCUACCAAGUAGAAGAUUUUAGAAACUGAAAGACCAAGAUGAGGAAAGACCAAGAUGAAAUUUUGGUCAACAACCAAAUUGAACAACACAAUUAGCAAGUUUUACUUAAUAGAUACAAACACACAGAUUCCUUCACCCAACAUAUAGAAAAUUUACAUUCAUUUUUUAAAGUUUAUUUACUUAUUUAUUUGAGAGAGAGAGAGAGAGAGAGGGAGGGAGGGAGGGAGAGAGAGAGAGAAAGCAGGGGAGGGGGACAGAGAGAGACAGAGAGAGAAUUGCAAGCAGUCUCUGAGCUAUCAGCGUAGAGUCCAACACAGGGCUCCAUUGCAUGAACCGUGGGAUCAUGACCUGAGCUGAAACCAAGAGUUGGAUGCUCAACCGACUGAGCCACCCAGGCGCCCCCACAUUCUUCUUAAGCAAACAGGAAACAGCUUUUAUUUUUUUAUUUUUUAGAGGUUUUCUUUUUAUGUUUACAAGACACAUUAAUCUAUUAAAUUUGAGGAUACAGUACAAAAAAACCCCACUUCAACAAACUCAUCUGACAAUGCUGUUCAUAUUCAUGAUGCCAUUUUUUGUUGUUUUAUUGGGGUUUUUUGUUUCCUAAUAAUAAAGGAGACUUAGGGCUGUUGGGCUGAUAUAUAUUUGGGAGUCCCCACUCCCCACCUCACCCAUAUAUUCCCAGGGUGAACAGGAGGAGGAGAAGGAAGGCAGGGCCCACAGCAAACAUGAAACAGCUUUUAAAAAACUGACCACAUUCGGACACCUGACUGGCUCAGUUGGUUGGUGCCUGACUUCAGCUCACAUCAUGAUCUCAUGGUUCGUGGGUUCGAGUCCCGUGUCAGGCUCUUGUGCUGAUAGCUAAGAGCCUGGAGCCUGCUUCAGAUUCUGUCUCUCUCUCUCUCUCUCUCUCUCUCUCUGCCCCUCCCCCACUUGCUCUCUGUCUCUCUCUCUCUCUCUCAAAAAUAAACAUUAAAAAACAUUUUUUAAAUAAAAAAAAAACUGACCACAACAAAGGAAGUCUCAACAAAUUCCAAAGAAUAUUUUACUUAACUAUAUUUUUAAAUCACAACGUAAUAAAUCAGAGGUCAAUUUUUAAAAAUGGCCAGAGUCAGAACUUUCUCCCUCACUGAAAUACAACUGGAAACCGAGCAUCCCAGUUCAAAAUACUUAACGGGUUAAAGAAAACUAAGCGGAAGUCAUAAAAUAUUUAGCAUGGACUGGAAUGCGGACGCAGUAACCUGAGAAUGCAGCUAAAUAGGUAUUUUAGGAGACAACAUCAUAGACUUAAAAGCCCAUAUUCAGAGAUAAGGAAGACGAAAAAUUAAUGGACCAAGCAUCCAACUCAAGAUGAUGUGAAUAAAUACAAAAUGACCUCAAUCAAUCAAUCAAUCAAUCAAGGCAAGAGGCAUAGAAAAGCGUGAGAUGAACGCACUCCCUAGAACUCUGGAAAGAUUGGGGCUCACUCCAGCUAGUGAACAUGGUCAGCCAAACUGGAGACUGAACAUAGAUGGGCAGCAAACACCUGUCUUACACAAUAACAUCCACAGAGCGCUUUCCCGUGCUUGAUUAGAUAUUGACCUCUGUGACUGCAACUGUCAGGCGAGGGCACUAAAGCUUAUUCCUCAGGAGAUCUUCAGGUAGGACCUUAAACUUGGGUGCCCUGCCCAGGUCAGAGCUGCUUCUCAGCCCUGUUUCUCAGCCCUCUGCCAGCACGCUAUUGCUAGAGAAAUGUUAUCAAUCAUUUGUCAUUAUUUCCCACGGCUGUCUUGACUCUGGACUCUGACAAAAUAGGAAAUUCUUACCUUCUCUGAAGAAUUCUUUCAGAAAAGACACCAUUCUGGUCCCCGCCUCCAGGGCUAACCAUAACGUGAACUCAAGGUGUGAGGCUAACCUGAUGUCCACGCAUGUUUGGUCACCAGAGUCCGAGAAUCCCCCUUAACAUUUGGAAUUCCUGAUUUACAAAGCUAUCUUGUGACAAACCUACUACACUUUAGAUAGUAAAUACUUGAAGUUUUGAUUCGCACUGAGCAUCAUCUGCUUUGUCAGCGGAGAGCAUUAUCUUAAUAAAAUACAUCUGGUUUCCAAUGGUAAACCUGUAUUUCAGGAUUGGGUUUCUCUCUCAUGUCAGUGACUGAGGGAAUACAGCAAACCAGAUAUUAUGUUCAAAUCGGUUAUUACAUUUUGUUGAUAGCCUUUUGUGUUUCUAGUGCAUAAGGAAUAAAUAAGUAACUGAAUCAAUAUAUAUUUAUUUAGCAGGGCUAUGUUUCCACUACUUUUCAGAAAUGUAUUAUCUAGCACUGUUGCCUAAUUUACUCUGAGACUAUUGUUUCCCUCUGUGUUUUCUGAUAUAAUCUCAAAAAAUAAAAACCAGAAGCAAACGUAAUUCUGUCAUUCUAUUUUUGUUGGAAGCAAGGCGGUUGCUGUUAUUCGGUUUGGGGGAAAUUAAAGGCGGCACUUGAGAUCUGAAAAAUUUCCGGGACUUAAAAAUAAUCUUUGACAGUGCGAACAGCAGGGCCAGUGUGGCAUCCCUUGUGUAACAGGCAGAAUAAGCCAAUUUAUUUGCAGUAAGAUUUUCUCUCUUUAUAUAGUCAAAUAAAUCCCAUUCAUGUGUGGAGAUAAUUGCAGGGACAUGGAAAACCACUGUCAAAGCACCACAUUUUGAUGGGAAGCUGCUAGGAAUGAGCGCUUUAAGAGAACCAAAAGGGUAUAGUGAUCGGGUUCAGCUUUUGAAGCACACACACCGGCUUUGAAUCAUCUCUGAUUCUCACCAGCCGUCUGACCUCACUUUUUAAAUCUCCGAAAGGAGAAUGGUGAUAGUAUCUGAGUGAUUAGCCCGUUGUGAGAAUUAAAAGAAGCCAAACUUACGAAGGCUGGCAGCUCCGUGCCUGACCCACGGUGAACCCUUCCCUGUCUCCAAGGAAACUAUGAGCACAGCAAUUCAAGGAAACAACAACAAAAAAAAACAGGGAGUUUUUCACCGUUCAUGGGAGGCAUCCAGGAGUUGAGAACUACGUAAGUUUGAAAACAGAAAAGAAAGGCAAUGAUACUGCUGCUGGUGGGGAAGGAAGCAGAGGUGUCUGGCUUUAAGAAAAAACACUGUUACCGAAAGGAGCAACUGAGGGCAAACCAGGGCCAUCCAGGUCUAACAAGGCUUUGAGGAUGACUGUGGUCCCCUAUAGGCCAUUAUCAUGCAGGAUGCUGUGUGCAUCUGGGUUACACCCGGGCUCCUCACUCCUUGCCCUGACAUACAGGGCCUCCACGUGUAGCUCUAACUUUACCCCCACACUGUCACUGCUGCUCCCCACAGACCACCCAAACUUUCUGCUAGCCAGACCUUCCUGAAAACAUCCUGCACCUUUUCUGACUUCUCCGGCUUUGUUCCCUGCUGUCCCCUCUGGUUAGUUUUUUCCUUUCUUCCCAUCUUCGACUUCCUAGCCAUCCUCUCUAUUCCAUUUAAAAGCCACCUUCUCCUUCCCAUAUUGCAACAAUGAGGUACAAUAUCUGUUGCCUCUUUUGAACUCCUGCAGCACUUGUUCUGUACGUCUUUCACAGCAUCCACAUUAUUCACCUUGGAUUAUAGCUGCUACAAUGGGCUCGUUACUCCUAAACUUGUGAAUAGCUUGAGGGAAGAGAGGGUCUUACUUAUGUUGGUUUCCCCCUGCCGUGGGUAGUACAUGAUAGGCGCUAAAUGGCUGUUGACAGGAUUAGUAAGACCACAGAUGUAUUUUGUUAUGUUAAUUUUUGAGAGAGAGAGAGAGAGAGCGAGCGCGCAUGGGGGUGGGGGGCAGAGAGGGAGGGAGACAGAGGAUCCGAAGCAGGCUCUGCGCUGACAGCCAUGAGCCCGACGCGGGGCUCAAACUCACAAACCAUGAGGUCAUGAUCUGGGCCAAAGGCGGAGGCUUAUCCAACUGAGCCACCCAGGCGCCCCCCCAACAGAUAUAUUUUUAAAUGGACUGUUAAUGUGAUCCAGCAUUUUUUACUAUCACAACAUGGUAAAAACCACACCCAAAUGUUUAGCAAGCAUCUACUGUGUACCAGGCACUGUGCUAGAUUCUAUGAACAAGAUUGACUUGAUUCCAACUCCCUUGUGCCUUAUAGUCUAAUGAGGAAAACAGGUUUUAGACAAUUUAUUAGAGCUGCAGUGCGAGGAAAAAGGUAGGAAGAGAAAGGUUCUAAAUGAAUAGCUCAUUUAUCACUAAGGAGAAAGCUGUUAUGAGUACCGAAAAAGUUAAGGGGAUUAGUUUCCAAAUUGUGAAGGUCCCAUACCUGUGACUGAUUUAGGUGUGAAGCUACAACAUAUUCUGGGCCACAGGAGCUGCUUUUGCCUGUGCUCUAGGAGAAAACUGUUGCCUGUAAAUUCAGAUUCAUUAAUGAAGGAGGUAGGCUGGGAAGUCAGGAUCAUUAGCUGGCUGAAGCAAUGCACUAAUGUAGCGUAAAAUAUACUGAGGUCUGCCAUUUAUGGUCCCCUCAGCUGGCAUAAAGUUAUUAUUGAGUUAUUGGCUGUAGCAAAGACGGUAAGGUAACAGGAGAAUUAUAUAUUAUAUACAAAUAACAGGCAUACACACCCUGAAUAUAUAGACAGAUGCUUCCAUUUUAUCUCAUUCUGUUAAUUUAACUUGGUGUUAGGAUGUAGGACUUAAAGCACAGUAAAUCACUGGAAUCAUUUCAGGACACUUGGCUCGGAGCAAAGCUCUCUCUUUGGCUUAAAACCACUCUGAUUACUCCCAAUACUUCCUACAGAAAACACUCAACUAGAUGUUCCACAUUCUCUUGAGAGUCAUCUUUCCAAAAGUAGAUGACAGAAAAAAUUGACUUGGAAUAAAAUAACAGUGUCUCAGGAUUCCAAUAUUUAAUUUCAAUAUUUCCUCUAAAUGAGGACAGAGUUUGGCCUGCAAACAAUAAUGGCCUUUUGAAUCUUGUUUAUUUCUAUUUGGCCUGAACAUAUAUCAACCUGCAAAAACCUGGGAACCCCUCUGGGCCAAAGUAAGGGACUGAGUGUUUGUUGGUUGGUUGGUUGGUUGGUUUUUUGUUUGUUUUGGUAGAAGUUAAAGAGAAAGGAAUUACGCAGCUAAAGUGCCACCCCAACUCACUGAGGUUCCUUUCCUGGGGGUUGCUACCAUAUCUACAGAGAACGAUUCAAACUUCUUCAUAUUAUUAACACUAGAAUGAUGGGACCACCGCACACAGGCACCUUGAGUGCAGUAUAAAGUAGUAGCUGGACGCCAAGGCUCUGAAAUGAGGAAUAUCUGUGUUUUAGCUCUACUAUUUGUGAGCUGUAUGAACUUGAGUAAGUUAGGGAACCUCCCAAAGCCUCAGUUUCCUUAUAUGUAAAACGUAAUUUAUAAUAUUACCUACUUGGCAGAGCUGUGGGGAUUCAAAUGUGCUAAUACAUGAAAGUGCUGAUCUAUGGUAAGUUCUCAACAAAUGAGAGUCAUUAGGAUUAUUAAUGUUAUCUUGAUUAACCUCUACCUCUAUACCUAGCAGGUGCAUAGGUGAAUCUUCCUUCCAAUUAGAGAGAACCCACCCUUAGUUCCGUCAGAGUUCGAGAAGCCAUGAGAUCACUAAAGAAGGAUAGGUAUGCCCACCAGGAUUCUUUUGGUUGUAAGUGACACAGACUGACUUAAUCUACUCCAAAGCCAAAAUGGGAUUUCUAGGAAGGGGUAUGUGUCAGGCAAAGGACGUCUGUUGCCUGUUAUCAGGAGCAGAAACCCCAAUACUGCUACCAACUGCAUUUUGGUAUUGGAGUCUCCAAGGAAAACAACAUCCAGCACCGGAUGGAACAUCACUUCACUCCCCAGAGAAGAGGCAGAGGGAGAUGAGCUCCAAUAGUUGGAGCUAGUCCCCCACGGCCAACCCGUCCCCCACGGCCAACGGGGUCCUCCUAGCACCAACACAGGGCAAUUGGCUUGUACUCACUCCUGUGCUGUGGUAGAAGGAUUCCAUCUCCUCCCCAAGGUGGACAGAUGUAAUAGUGGGGUUGGCCAGGUGCCAUUUAACACACAUGCUUAAGCAAGACAAAGGAGUACACAUUCAGUCUGAAACAGGGUAAGUUAUUCCCACGCAAAGUGAUAAAUCCAGCACAGGCUGUGGGGACUCUUUAUCUCUUGGCAGGGAAGUGUUCCAGGACCAAGGCCUAUUCUUAGGUGGCUGGAUUGGAGUUGACAAAUGACAUGCAUGAGACUGCAUUUCUCAACACCAGGAGUAGCUUGUGGAGCUGAAGAAAGAAAUCGAAGUCAUUUCUAUCAAUAAAUAAAACUUAGGCCUUGAAAACCAUCAGUUUACCCUUGCCUGUCUCUUCUCUCUGCGUGUUGGUCUGAUUUUCUUCUGUUGUCAAAUGACUUUCCCUUUGUGGCACCGAUCACGGCUACUGGCAACUUCCAGGGCCGUAUUCUAACAGCUUGGAAACCAGUGAGGAAACAGUGCAUCUCUCUCUUUCAGCUUCUACUUGAAAAAUUUCAGGGAAGGGCUCUGGGAUUGGUCAGGUGGCCUCUCCUUGGACUGCUCAUGUAAUCAGGGAUUGGGGUACUAUGAUUGGCCUAACCUGGGCCCUGUGCCCACCUCUGUCACCUGAAGUAGGUGUGCUCUGUGCAUAUGCUGGGGGGGGGGGGGGGAUGGGCGGUGAGAAGGGGUUGAGGGUAGACUCUCUAUAGCACAAAUGUGAGCACGUAGGGGAGAGAUCUUAGAAUUUUCCAGACUCCUCAUUUCACUGUCAAGAGACUGGAAUCCAGCCACAGCCAAAGAUUGUUCAAGGUCAGCGGGGCAUGGCCUUCCUGAUGAAGUGUUCUCGGCUGGUUAAAAGGCUUAUUAUCUUCAUUAAGGUGGUGGAAUGCAAUCAGUCUAAAGGGCUAAAAAUUUCUUAAGUGUCCAUCAGAACUUCAGUGGGAAGUUUUCCUGGUUGAAUUAAAUACAUUUGAAUAGGGAGAUGGAGCAUAAGAGGGCAGGGAGGGUCCUAGGUGUUACAAUUUGCAACUUUUGGAAUUGUUAUUUCCUUCAAACCCCAAUGGGACAGUAUCGGGAUUUGUUUCUGAGGACAAGCUGUGUGAACACAAGCUUCAGAGGUAUAAGUGGCUACCACAGAGGUCCCAGGCGUGAAUAAGUGGGAGCUGAAAAUAACUUCUCAAACUCCUCAUAGGAGAGGAUCCAGUUAUCACUUUGCCUCUGAGCUUUCCUUUCUGUCCUUAUCCCCAUGGGAUUCUGCCCAGCCUAUGAGUGGCCUAGUCCUAUUUCUUCUGGUUGUUGGUUCCCACACUGGGGUACACUGGGGUGCACUGAGAGGUAUUCCAGGGGGAGUGCUGGGAGUAGGGGAGCCACAGGAUAAACAAAGAGCAUUUUCUAGGUUUGACAAUUAAAAACAUGGCUUAUAAUUAAGACAAACAUCUGAAUAUUAUGGAAUGGAAUUUUAAUAGUAUUUCACAGUUUACAAUGAAUCAGGAGAUUCUAAAGUCUUUUUGAUUUUACUGCCCUGGCCCUGUGUCCUUGGUUCUCUUUGGGGUGGGCUUUCAUUCUUGUCAAGUGCUAGGGGUACCUUAGACGGAAAGUUCAAGGAGCCAUGGGGAACUAGUUGUACCCAGAGCUUAACUCUUCAGUCUGAGGAUCAAAUAACUGUACUUAGAAUUCAUUUCUUCCUUGAGCCUACACACUUCAGAAAGCCCACUUUCUUUUGCUAUGGUGAUUUUGGAAAUGGAAGAAUGCUAUCAAGGACAGUUAUCUUACCCUUUCGUCUUCCUAUUCCAGGCUAAACAAUGUAUCAAACCGAUUUCCCUCUCUCCUUUCACUUUGCUUAUUGCUUUGCUAAUAAUGUUUCUUAGUUUCCUUUAAAUAUAGAAUUUGGAAAUAUACCAUUUAAGAGCUAGAAGAGAUCUAAGAGAUUUCCUUACAAGUGAAGAGCCUGAAGCCCAGAGAGGGGAGGUGACCAGCUGAAGAUCACACAGCUCAGCAGUGUAACAGAGGCAGAGCUGGAACCCAGGUCCUGAUUCUCAUUCCAGUGCUCCGUCCAUGACCCCUAACCUACAUAGACACUACCCGAAAAGGGUUUGACUCAUGCUAAGGCUUAUGAGAUUUUAUUUCCCUGCGCCUUGUAUGCCUUGAAUGCAACUUAGACUGGGUUUUGUUUUGUCUCGAGAGACAGUACUAUAUUGAGAUUCAACUACCUCUCAGAACAUAUUUGCUCAUUUUUCCUUGUAUGUGUUGACUUUUGUGACUUAUAUGAUAUCUAGAAGAGUUUUAGAUGAUUUUGAAUUCACUUUUUAAUUUCUAAAGUGUCAGCAACCUUUUCUCAUCUUGGUGAUACCUGCAGAUAUCUGUAGUGCUCUCCUCUGAUCUGAAUUCUAGAACGUAUAUUCAUAGGACACUAAUUUGGCAAAGCUUCACCAGCAACACAAAGGUCCUUCAUCACCUGUGGAAAUAGGUGUUCUCUUUCUUUCUAUUAAUAUUGCCAAUUAUAUUAAUGAAUUCCCUUAUGUCAAAACCUCUUUGUAUUCUGAAAUUAAUUCCACUUGGUAAUGACUUAUUUUUUUAAUUGUAAUUUUGGAUUCUCUUUGCUAGUAUUUUAUGUAAGAUUUUUUUUUUUUUUUUUGGUAUCAGUAUUCAUAAGUCAGAUUUGCCUAGUGCCAUCUUUAUCUGGUUUUGGUAGCAGUAUUAUAGUCACUUGUUUUCUUUUAACGUUUAUUUUUUGAGAGAAUGCGAGAGAGAGGGAGAGAGAGAGGGAGAGAGGGAGGGAGGGAGGGAGAGGUGGGGGAGGGGCAGAGAGAGAGGGAGACACAGUAUCUGAAGCAGACUCUGUCUCUGAGCUGUCAGCACAGAGCCUGACGUGGGGCUCGAACUCACCGACCAUGAGAUCAUGACCUGAGCUAAAGUCAGACACUUAACCGACUGAGCUGCCCAGGCACCCCUAUAUUCACUUCCUAAAAAGAAUUUGGGCCCUUUCCCUUUUUCUCCUCUCUAGACUCUAGAACAAUUUAAACACCUUUAGGAUUAAUUUAUUUUAAUAUUUCACAGAAUUUUCCUGUGAAACCAUUCAGGCCCAUAUUUCUUUUUUUCUUUUCUUUUUCCUUCCUUUUUUUUUUUUUUUUUGGAAAGGAGUUUUUUGAAAACACUCUCAUUUUUUAAAAAUGAAAAUCGGUCUGUAAUUUCUGUCUUUAGUAGAGUUUCAUUUGGGAUUUUUAAAAUACGUAUCAGCAGUUGUAUCUUUCUUUGUUUCUUAUUUUUGUACAUUCUUCACUUUCCCAUUAAAAAAAUCAAGUCAGAAAUUGUUACACAUUUUGCUGAUUUCCCCCUCCUCCAACACUGAUUGAUUGAUUGAUUCACCAACUGACUGUCAGUUUUGUUUUCUAGCAUUAAAUUCUUUUAUAUUUAUUAAUUCUUUCUGGUGUCUUUUGUUAUCAUUUGCUGUUCUGUGUAUUGCUUUUUGAAUUAUGUGUUUAGCUGUUUUAUUUUAAAAUUUUAUUUAAUGCUAGAAAUUGUCCUCAGCAUUUUAUUUAUUUAUUUAAAAAAAAUUUUUUUUUUACAUUUAUUUAGUUUUGAGAGACAGAGUGAGACAGAGCAUAAGCAGAGGAGGGGGAGAGAGAAGGAGACACAGAAUCUGAAGUAGGCUCCAGGCUCUGAGCAAGCGUUCAGCACAGAGCCUGACACGGGGCUCAAACCCACGAACCACGAGAUCAUGACCUGAGCAGAAGUCAGUCACUAAGCCGACUGAGCCACCCAGGCGCCCCUCCUCAGCAUUUUUUUAAAGCUAUACCCAACAAGUUCUUUUAUUUUUUUAAUUAUUUUUUUUAUUUUUGAGACAGAGGGGGACAGAGGAUCCAAAGCAGGCUCUGUGCUGAGAGCAGAGAGCCUGAUGCAGUGCUCAAACUCACCGUGAGACCAUGACCUGAGCCAAAGUCAGACGCUUAACUGACUGAGCCACCCAGGGGCCCCUAUACCCUACAAGUUCGGAUAUGUUUUGUUUUGUAUCUCUCCUUUGUCACAAAGGUUGUUUAACACACAUUGUUUAUUUAUUUAUUUAUGUAGGCCAGGUGGGAAACCUUUUUUGUUUUGGGGUCUUAAAUUUUGUUACUGUCUACUAGUUUCAUUGUAUUGUGUUGAGAGCAUGGUAGUAUUAUUUUUGCUCUUUAUAUAUAUAUAUUUUUGCUCUUUUUGCCGCAUACCAAUAUGGGCCUCUGUUUAGCAUUAUGAUUAGUCACCCAAAAUUGCACAUGCUGAGUCUGUAAUUACUUUGUUCCCCACGGUUCCCACCCCACUACACUCAAUGUGAAGUAGAUUUCUAUGUUAUACUCUUACAUUAUCCUGUGUAUUUCAUUUUUGAUACUUAUCACAAAUUGCAACUAUAUAGUAAUCUGUAUACUGCAUUAGUGUCUGGGACAAAUGACCUCCACUUUGGUGGCUUAAAACAAGAGCAAUUUUUUUGUCACAGUUCUGGAGGCCAGUGUCUGAAAAUCAAAAUGUUGACAGAGUUGCACUCUCUCUGUAGGCUUUGUGGCAGAAUCUGAUCUGGGUCUCUUCUAGUUUCUUGCAGUUAUAGGCAUUCCUUUGUGUUCCUUGGCUUGUGGCUGCCAGUCUAAUCUUUGCCUCCAUCUUUUUUUCUUUUUACUGUUUAUUUUUGAGAGAGAGAGAGAGACAGAACAUGAGUAGGGGAGGGGCAGAGAGAGAGGGAGACACAGAAUCUGUAGCAGGCUCCAGGCUCUGAGCUGUCAGCACAGAGCCCAACAUGGGACUUGAACUCAUGGACCGUGAGAUCAUGACCUGAGCUGAAGUUGGAUGCCUAACUGACUGAGCCACCCAGGUGUCCUGUCUCUGCCUCCAUCUUUACAUUAUCUUCUCCUCUGGGCAUCCGUUUUCUCUUUCUCCGCCUUGCUUUAAUAAGGACAUAUGUGAUUGCAUGUAGGGUUGACUUGGGUAAUUCAGGGUAAGUUCCUUCUCUCAAGAUCUUUAACUUAAUCACAUCUUUUGCCAUAGAAGGUAAUAUUGACAGGUUCCAAGGAUUAGGACCUGGGCAUAUCUUUGGUGCUACCAUUUAGCCCACUAUAUGUACCAUCCCUCCUAUCAAAUACCUGGCUCUUUUACUGUCUAAGAUCCAUGAAGUGAAAAAUCACGUCUUUUUCUGUCUCUGUGUAUCCCUAAUUCCCAGUACAGUACCUAGUUCAUAGUGGUUAAUACGUAAAUAGUUGCGAAAUACAUAAAUCCAUAAAUUAUGCAUAAUUGCUACUCUAUGUUUAGAGUUAGUUUGCAGUCUUAGUCUCAAAUGAUCUGUUCUACCUAUAAUUGAAUGGAGAAUAUCUUGUGGAUUCUAUAGGAUCAGACUGACAUUCGUAUGAAGAUAUGACAUCAUGCAUAGAACAGCUCAUUUUGAGUUGUUUCAAGUACUGUCUAGAAUUCUGGAAGAUUUCUUCAUUUUACCACACUUGAUAGCUCCAUGAAUUAGUUUCUUACAUGACCUAUAGCAACUAUCUCGGUGUGCUAUUUCAUCCAUUUUUCUUACUUGUUCAGCUUGGUGGAGCUGUACUAAGAUGAGUAUUGCUUCAGGGCUGAUGGAUUGACUAUCUUAGUGACCAGAUCAUUCUACCACUUCUGCUGAGCAUUUAUUUAAAAUUGAAUGUGUACCCUGCAUACCUCCAAUGCAAUUUUGAAAUAACUUCCACGCUUAGUUUGAAUAAGCAAGACAAUAAAAAUAUUUUUAAAAUACAAGAAAUAAGAUACAAAAAGGAGAGGUAUAUAUGUAGAUACUCAGGAUGAGAUAAUUAUUGUAAUCAUAUUCUAAGUUAAGGGAUGAUAUUAUUGGUGAUGGAAAAAGAAAAAAAAUUAUUUCAUUAACCAAUUAAAAGAAAAAUAUAAGUUCAUUAGAGACUGCAAAGUUUUUCUUGACUUUGGGCUCUAGAAGGAGGAAUUUAGUGUAUAUAUUUUACUUUCAAACUGUCUUUUGUUAUGAAUCAAAUUCAACAACUCCCCCCCCAUUCCCUCUGUUCUUUCUUAAGCUACUGUCAACUGUAAAUUUCUUUGUGACUUUGUGGUAGUAAAUAGGAGUCAUGAGGAGGGUGAAUGAUAGUAGUGGGGUCAUUAGGAUUUUCCCCAAAUUCAUUUUGCUUCUAAAUAAUGUAUAUUUAAAUAACUAGAGUGAGGUUUAAAAAUUUUUUUAAAGAUUUUAUUGUUAAGUAGUCUCUGCACCCCACAUGGGGUCAAACUUACAACCCCAAGAUCAAGAGUUGUGUGUUCUACCAACUGAGGUAACCGGGCGCCGAGCUCAUAUUCUUUUUCUCUUUUCUUUUGUUUUCUUUUCUUAAUAUAAUUUAUUGUCAAUUUAGCAGGUUAGUUAACAUACAGUGUAUAAGGUGUGUUCUUGGUUUUGAGGGUAGAUUCCCAUGAUUCAUCGCUUACAUACAACACCCAGUGCUCAUCCCAACAAGCGCCCUCCUCAAUGCCCAUCACUCAUUUUCUAUAAUCAAGUUUGAAGAGUCCUUUAAAAUGUUUGGGGACUGAUAGGCUCACUCCACUAUUGGUGGAAAUCACUAGCACAGUGCUACAGCAUGUGUACAUAGUUGGCACAAUGUAGCGAUGUUGAAUGAAAAAUCACCGAAGAAAUUAGGGAAUUUAGAGCUAGAAUGCAGGUCUACUUUCUUCCCAUAUUUUUCAUUGUUUCAGGGGAUCAGACAUCAGACCUCAUCCCCCAGUUCUUCCCUCUCUGCUCACAAGCUUAUCUCUACCACCCACAGCCUUUCCUUUCUCCUUUGUAUGCUACUGGAGAUAAUUCUCCUCUUUCACAAGGCCAAUUCUUUCACCUUGUUUUGGAUCCUAUCCUUCGGAUCUCAUAAAGAACGUGGCUCUACCCACCCUCCGUUCUCCUUAUAAUUUCAGUUUCUCUAUUAGCUCUUGUCUUUCUGUAUAUGCUCAAGUGUAUUUCAUUUUGGUAAAUAAAAAUGUAAAAAAUCUCACAAAUUGAUAUCACUUUCACAGUUAAACUUUGUAAAGGUCAGCUUACAUUCCUUGUUUCCUUUGUUCACCACUCACUCCUUCAAUCAGUUGGUUAUUCAACAUUCAUUGACUCCUAAUUAGUAAGAUACAGCAAUGACCAGGACACCAAAAACAGCGAUACCCUGAAAGAGGUGAUAGUGUAAUAGGAAAGAAGUUCAAGUAAACAAGCAAUUGUAAUACAAAGUACCAAGUGUUUUGAUAGGUAUAAAAGAAAAUGUUACAGGUUCUUUGCUAUCCCUUCAUCUAGGUAGAGUCUAGAUGAAGGGUAGAGUCUAGCUAGGUAGAGUCUAAUUUCUCUACCUGUGGAUAUAGGCUGGCCUUAGUGACUUACUUGACCAACAGAACAUAAUGGGAAUGAUGUUCAGGGAUUUCAGUUUAGGGCUUAAGAAACUGAAGGGGUUCAGAACAAGUCUUCCCAAAAUUUGCCACUUUGGCAUGAGGAUUAUUUUGAGCUAAAGGUAACCAACACCCAGCAGACUCAGGAGAAGCUCUUUACCUCUUGCUUAACUGCUAUUACAAAGGAAAUUUACAUUAAAAAGGGGGCCUGUGCCAGAAAGACACUUAGUACCAGAAAUAACUUUUUACUUAGGAAACUUAUCUGUGUAAUUGGGAACCAGAGAUGUUUUCCAAACAUUUCCUCCCCUUGCCUUCCUGUGAAUGGCCUUCCUUCCAUUUGCGGCUCCAGAGCCCUAUCCCUUUUCUCAGCUCAAGAUUUUAGAUAAGCCUCAACUGCCCGGCUCCUUUUGAGCCUCGUAACUUUGUGGGGGAUUUCAGAAGUAUGUACAUAAUUCAAUUUGUUUUUCUCCUGGUACUCUGUCUCACGUUAUUUUAGUGGUUAGACCAGUCACAAAACCUAGAAGGGUAGAAGGAAAAUGUUCCCUCCCCUAUAAAACCAGCUUCUGGCUGGAUUUCUUAGACGAUGUUCUCUCACAGAUCACAGUCACCGUGCAAUGAGAAACCCAAGCCAAGUGGUGAAAUUACAGGUAGGUAAUCUGGUUGACAGCCCUAGCAGACCUUUCAUCUGGUGAGUGGCAACUUCCAGUUAACUGAAGGUAUCAUUUUGGACCUCCACCCAGUCAAGUCUUCAGAUGAUCCAGCCCCAGCUGCUCUAUGACUGCAACAGCAUGACGAAUCCCAAGAAAGUGCUGCUCAGCAGAGUCCAGUCAACUCCCAGAGCUAUCGGAUAUAGUAAGUUGUUUCCAGCCACUAAAUUUUGUGAUGAUUUGUUAUGCAGUGGUAGAUACCUCAGCAGGUGGCUCUGCAGAAGAGAACCUAUCCCAGGCUUGGGUAAGGGGAACCUGAGCGAGCUCUCUGCAGGGGACGUGACCUGGUGCCAUCCUGUGCCCUCGAGACUUCAAAUGAAAAUAGUAUGAUCCGUGUUAGCCAUAACCUUAUACACUAACACCACUGUCAAAAGCUCAAGAGUCUAUAAGGCAAUAAUAGCAUGUGUCUGGGCAACAAUUGCAGUGUUUCCCCAAUUGGUGUCCUUAGGAUAUAAAUAAAUACAUACAUAUAUACAUACACACACACAUAGGCAUGUCUUCAAAAAACUGUUCCAUGUUCAAAUAAGUUGGGAAACUAUGUUAAUCAAGGUGAACUAUGACUUCAAUCCUCCUAAAUUUAUCAAGACUUGUUUUAUAGCCUGAGAUACGAUCUAUCUUGAAAAAUGUUUCAUGUGUACUUGAGAAGAAUGUAUAUUCUUCUGGGCGGAAUAUUCUGUAACAUAUGUUAAGUCCAUCUGGUCUGAUGUGUCAUCUAAGGCCAAUAUUUUCUUGUUGAUUUUCUGUCUGGAUGAUCCAUCCAUUGAUGUAAGUGAGGUAUUAAAGUUGCCUACUAUUAUCAUGUUGCUGUCUAUUUCUCCUUCUAGGUAUGUUGAUAUUUGCUUUAUAUAAUUAGGUGCUUCAAUGUUGGGUUCAUAGAUAUGUAAAAAUAUACACGGAUAUGUAUAUCUUCUUGUUGGAUUGACCCCUUUAUCACGUUGAGUUAGAAACCCGCCCUUCUAGCCACAGUCAUGAUGAUUACCUAACAGGCCUCCUUCACAGAAAGACUGAGUUCCUGGGUCUGCUGCCUUCUGCUAUGCCUUCGGGGUGGUAGCUGUUUGAAAAUUCUGUUGGUUACAGUCCUGGGAGGCCCAUGGAAGUACGCCCCACUGGCCAUUAGAGGCAGGUGAUGUGGAGGUGUCCCCUGGUAGCAGUUGCAAAAAUUGGGGUACCAGACAGGGGUACGAGCUCCUUUCUGGGUGACAUUGAUUACUGCAGCCUCAUGGGACCAGAAAUGCAAGCUUUCUUGGCCUCCAGAGCCAGGAAGUCAAGAGCAUCCCCUAAAUGGAGGCCACACAAAUCAGGGCAACAGACGCAUGUAAAAGUACCCCCCCCCCCAACCCCUGCCGGAGUGCUGGUGCUCUGGAGCACAGCAAAAGGAGAGUACAGAGAUGUUGCCUGCCAGCCUCCCUCCCUGAAGAGUGUUCCACCAGGCUUCUAGAUGCAUGUGUUAAAUUAGAUGCCUGCCCCUCAGGAUAAUGUUUUAAUAUAAGCAGGUGAGCCUCCUUCACUUUAAGCCUGGGAAUGAUGAUCUGCCUCUGAGCCCAGAAGUCCUGUAAGAGCAGUUAUGCAGAUUGUUAGAGUUUUGUAGGUCUUAGAACACAAGCCUCACUGGUUUUGCAAAGUUAGAUGUUUUGGGGGAUUGUGUCUCAAGUGUAUGUCUUAAAAGUUGGGAUGCCCCAUAUGGGGUUCAAACCCUUUGUUCCUUAGGGAAGAGCCUUGUGUUUUGAGAUAUCAGGAGCCCUUAGUGAUGCCUACUUACCCCCAUAAAAUCUUAUAAUCUUUCAACAACCAACUGGAGUAGGUAUGAACUCAAGGUUGUCUUCAGCAAGCUUGGUCCCAGUGGUCGUCGUAUGGCCUACAAUAUGGUAACAAUAUGUGGGUCCGUAUACAUCAUAUCAACCAUGUAUGAUGGCGGGGCGGGGGCAGGGGGGUGUGAACUGCUGAAGUGAAGAGAAAACAAAUAUGGUUCAAGUGAAAUUGAACAACCUUGUAGAUCUGGAAUGGUCUGAUGUUACAAGCCAAGGUCUGCUUGUCCUUUAAAGCCAUAUACCUGCCCCUGCAGAGGCAGGGAGAUAGUUUCUCUUCAUUUACUUUCCCAUCUGCAAAAUGAAAGUGGGAAUGGAUGACAGUCUUCAGGCAUUCCCAAGUUUUUAAUGCUAUAGAUGUUUCCUUCUCUUCAUUUUGUUUUUCUUUUAUAUUAGGCCUUCUAAAUUCAGCCAGAGUCUCUCUGAUGUCACUGUCUUCUGUAAUCCCUAACAGCAGAACGACUUCUUCAUGUUUGCUUUACAUAACAGGAGAGGGGGAUGAAGGAGCAGUUACUGCAGAGCUGAGAGGGCACUGAAUCCCAAAUGCAAUUGCUCAUAUACAGCAUUUCUGUGCCCCUUCCCAGAUUCCACACCCCUAGAGACCUGAGACCAGAGAUACCGCAUCUGGGCACAGAGCUUGUUUGCAAGAUGAGAAAUAGUCUACUUGUUUCCUCUGUUCUACUGUAGACAUUGACUUGUGAGUUAAGUGACUUCAGAUACACACAUACCAUCAGUGUACCCUUCGGUUAACAUCGGACUGCAUGACCUCUCAGACACCUUUGGGCUUCAACAAUAUAUGAUUCUAAGUCAACGUCAUCCUUUCUUGAACUCUUUUAUUCUAGCUGCGUGGGAUAUGGUAAUACUUCUGAGUCCUCAGGGCCAGAGGAAGAAAGGUUCACCCUUUGGGUGAUGCUUUUGGGAAAUGUGGGCCAAAGGUUUGAAGCAGGCUUAUCACAGACCAGUUAUCGGGUCAGAAACAUCUGCUUUACUCCAAUGGAUGUGAACUGAGAUCAGGAGGGCAUUUAUUUUCCUGUGAACCCAUUUCUCCAAAACCAUCACAUCCUUCUGUUGGAAAACAGGGUUUUAGAUUUUGUUUUUGUCUUUAUUUUUUAAAAUCAGCUGCCUAUAUCUGAAUGAUGUAGGGGCAAGGACAAACUAAAAAUAAGUUUAAUUUCCCCUGUUGAAAAGGGAAGAGACUUUUCCCCCAAACUUGUUACCUGGAGCAUUUGCUUUUUUAAAAAAUGUUUAUUUACUUAUUUUGAGAGAGAGAGAGAAAGAGAGAGAGCAAGUGAGCAGGGAACAGGCAGAGAGGGAGAGAGAGAAUCCCAAGCAGUCUCAUGCCAUCAGCACAGAGCCUGACGCAGGGCUUAAUCUCAUGACUGUGAGAUCAUGACCUGAGCUGAAAUCAAAACAGUAGGACCCUCAACCAACUGAGCUACCCAGGUGCCCCCAGAAUAUUUAAUUUUAAAUAAAACAUGUAACUAAGUUUUUCUGUUUCUUUGAAGUAUAUAUAAAUCUUUUUAGAAACUAAAUAAACCUAUUGUCAACUUUGUGAUCUAGGAAGUCUUUCUCAAGAACUCGGGACCUAGUUUUUGAAAUCUAAACAUCAAGGGAAAUAGACCCCCCAUUUCCCAGUUUCUGUGGGAGGAUAGGAGCCUAAUUUCAAUGAGCACCUUGCUCUAAGCUGCAAGGUAGGAGCACAUAAAAAUAGGAGAUGUUUGCUUUCCCUCUGGAUAAAGCCAAUUAACUAACAUGAAUAGUCACUCCAGUUAACAGGUGAAUCUAGAAUGAACUAUUUGUGACCAAUGGUGCUGUCAAGACUUCUUACCUGAGGACUAGUUAUUAUUUGUCUUGAGACCAUGUAUGUAAAGGGUGGUAUCUGCUUGGCUAUAUCAAAGGCUGAGGCUUCUUUCUGUCUCCGCAAUGUCUUAGCAACCGCCUGUGAUGUGCAUCAUGCCCAGGUUUAAUACUUUUUCAACAAUAAAAUUGUUUUCCUUCUCUUCUACCUUUUGUGGAGAAGUUUCUGGAUUCGGAGGAAAAAAAAUUGUUUUGAAUUCUAUUUCCCUAACAACAGAUAUUCUAGAUCAAUGGCUUUCAAACUGUGUUCUCUAGAGGCGCCUCCAGGACUGCGGGGGGCUGAGGAGGACAGAAGACUGCUGGGGGCUUGCUCUCUGAGCUCUGCACUUGCCUCCCCCCCCCACAGUAUCCUUUCUGAUAUGUUGAUAUAUGAUAUUAGUGUUCUAGGUAAAUUUUGCCUAAGGUCAAAGUGUCUCUGGUAAAAAAUAAAAAUGAUUAAAAAAACAGGUAUCUAUUCUGUACAUACAUUUUCAUUCUCUCUUUCCCUCCUUCCUAUAGAAUGAAAACUCUGUGAGGGCAGAGACUUUGUGUGUCUCAAAACUUCCUCAAAACUUAGCAGAGUCCCUGGGAUGGAGUAGGUACACAAUUACGUUGAAUUCACGGAUGGCCAUAGAUAAUGAACAAUGAAUGCGGGGCAGAAAAAAAGCGGAGAAUGGACACAGGUGUUUAUAGCAGAAUUGUGGCUUCCUGUGACUCAAAGAAUGUGUGUGUACAGGGAUAUAAAAUGUAGUAAUAACCAGUCAGGAGCACCUAAGGCAGAAAUACUGCAAGGCAGCUAAAAGCACAGGCUCCUGGAUAACACAGCUGGGAUUAUAAACCUUGUCUCUGAUUAGCGAUCUGUGUCACUCUGAACACAAUUCUUAAUCUUGUGGCUCAAGUUCUUUACCUGCAAAAUAGGAGAUAACAAUAUUCCUGAACUCUAAUUCUAUCCUUAUGCUUGAGCAAGAGGGGCCCCUGCCCUGUGUCCCAUGCUCUAAAGGACCCUACAGGUCACAAACACAAAACACAUGCAGUGUUUUUAUGGAAUCCAUGGACACCUCUCUUACUGAGAAAUCCUGUGCUCCUCCUGGGCACAACAUGACCCAUGGCCCUAAGUGUCUGCUACGGGAUUAAGACAGGUCAUAUCCCAGGAACACUCUGUUCAUAUCCUAUGCUUUAGAAACAAAAGAGUUCAAAUAACUUCUUCAAAGUGCUCAGAAUAGACCGUGACACUUGAUAGCUAUUAUUUUCAUUGUCCUUGAAGCCAGGAGCUCUUCCCCUGCUGGACUCAGUCCUGGGGUCCGAUUGGAUUAGAAAAUUCGAUUCGUGGAUCUGCCCCGCUGAGGACCAGACCCCAAGCUCCAGGGACCUCCACUGAGGCUCAGUCACCCCAGUGGACCCAAAGAAAGCCUGUUCACAUCCCUGGCUCUCAGUUCAAACAUAUUGAAAUUAAGAAAAACAGAGAGUUAAGGCUCAAAUGACCUAAUUAAUCAGACUGUGUUUAGGGAGCUGUAUUUUUAAAUAUUCAAUGAAAUCACACACACAAACUCCUUAAAUCUUUAUUAGGACUGAGACAUUGAAGAUGUCUUUUCUGUAAGAUGACACAGGUCAACCUUUAGGCGGAGACCUCAGGAACGGUUUUCUGGCUUCUCUUAAGGCCCCUGUCUCACUCAGUGUCAACUUGUCCUCUUUCCGGGGACAUCUCAAUGAAGUAGUCAUUAUGGUAACCAUAAAUUUUAUUGUCCAACCAGAACACUUUAGUGUCAAGGGGGCUAUAAGUAAUGAUGCCAAGACAACAGGCAUGAGCCCUGACUGGUCUGGGCAGAACAGAUAUAUGAUUAGCCCAUCCGCUCAGAAGUUUAUCUGAGCCAUCUGCCAGUUUGGGACACUCCCAGUUCCCAUCCCUUGCUGAAGUCCCUGAUUCUGGUUCAGUACAAGAGGUGAUUUUGUGACAUAAAAAUACAAUAGUCCAUCCCACAUGCAAGGGUCAUUCUCUAUUUCUGUGGCUGCCACACAAUGAACAGAUUAAUCUAUAAUUUACUCUUGCCUAUUCCCAAAAGAUGAAAGGUGGCCUGUGGCCACGUAAAAUUGAGUAAGACAGCAAAAAUUGCAAGUAAGUAAGAAAAAAAUUGCUAAUACUUAUAGAGUGGUUACUUUGGGAAAGUUACAAUGCCAGACAUUUUGUAUACAUUAUCUCAAUGAAGCCUCCUAGCAUGAUAGAUGGGGGAAGUAGGGCACGGAGAGAUUAAGCCCCUCGCCCAAGGUCACCUAUCUUGAAAAUGUCAGAACCUGGAAGUGUUGUAUUGUGAGGAAAGUGAUGUGUUCCCUAACGAUAAUUUCUAAUUUGGUUAUCUUUAUGUUCUGUUUCAUUUUUAUCUGUGUAUGAAACUGGAUGUGCUUUUACUUCUAAAUACGUCCUUCUCCUUGAGCUGAGAAACCUUACUAUGCUUGAAUUAAGCAAUCAGGUAACAUUUUACUUCUUUCCCUGACACAAGGGCCCGUGGGAUUUCUGUACUUAAAGAUCAGUAAUGAUCUUUGGUGGCUCCUACGUGACCCAUGUUGAAAUACCUCAAACUCUUUUAGAAAAAAAGAAAUUCCAUUAAAAAAAUUUCAAUUGCACAAGCUGUCCUUAAAUUUCGCAAACCUCUCAAAUUGCUUUCCUAAGCUUAAGAGCAUACUCAGAGGUAUGCAUGUUCAAUUUAAAGAGUUUAUAUAACAUAAAUCAUAUUCUUUCUUUCUGUUUUCCCGAAAGUCAGUAAUUUUGUUGAUGUCCAUAGUCUCCAAAAAUGAUGACUUUGCACAUUGUGUGUUUAUCCCUGUGACACAACCUAAUUCAUCCACAAUACUGAAGAAGAAAAGUCAUUAACCUAACGUUGGAAGGAUGAAAUGGGAAAUAGGAAAGGUUAAAAGUAUAAAUAAACCAUCCUUCCUUUCAUCAAAGCACCAAACAGUCACAUCAGAGAUAUGCAGAGUCCUCAAGAGCUGUCCUAGCUGUCUGAAAAAAAUGACAUCCUUUUUCCAAACUCCAGUCUCCUGGAGUUGAAGUGUCACCUCAUCCAUAAAUACCUCAGGUUUCUAAUAACCUUCAGUCCCGCCCCUGCAGCCUGGUCAAGGUGAUUGUUUUUUCCUCAGUCUCUGAAAGAGUUUAUCUGCACCCUGGAUGUGUAUUAAUCUUGUUACAAAUGUCAUCUGAGUUAGUGAGGCAUUGAUCUGGGGCUACUUCAACCCUCUUUACCUCAACGUGGCCUAAUCAAAUUGAACAUUUUAAAAGAGGAAAGUGGACAGAGAAAACAAGCAACACCAUUCAUCUACCUCUCCCUAUUCUUUUGUGCUAGUCUCAGUAAAGGAUAGACCAGUGAUCUAGGCCUUCUAUUUCUUAAGAUGAGGAUGGCUGGUGAUGGAUGCGGUAAUGGCCUCUCUAAACUGUGAUGAGGCUGUGCUGGGCUCUGCCUCACGAAGCACUCGGUUAGAGAAAUGUUGGAAGAAUAGGGCCGGGUCUCAGGAAAUCAGAGGACAGAUUUAGUUGACCUCCAAUCACCAUCCUAUAGUCCUCGCAUGAUCUAGUCCCUGUUCUAUGCCUGCUGGCUCUUUCUAUCAGAAUAGGCCUAAUUCCUUUGUCCAUGCCCACUAAUUUGAGCAAAACCAAGAUUUACUUCUCAAUGACUUCAUUUCUCAGUGACUGUUCAAAGAAGGUCUAAUGAUGAUCAGUUCAACUGUUUUACGUUGCUUAGAAAGACCAGGUCUAUUAGACAGUGAAACCUAAACCAUCUAUGGUCAUGAUUUGCUGACCAGUUAAAAUCUGUAUUUACUCUAGGUACUCAAAAAGGUGUGAGAUAAAUCCAAAUGUAUUCAACAAGUAAACCUAAACAUAUGCAGAGGGAUCUCAUUUUACCUCUCCUCAAGGUGUGAUUAACCCCAACACUUUGGUAGAAAUAUCCCUCUGUAGACAUUUAGGACUUUCUGCUUUAUCCUAAAGCUUAAACCACACAUAUGUAUAUACAGUGGCAUCCUAAAUGGACAAAGAUGGGAUUUAUAUCAAUGUUUCUUUUUCCCAUGUUCAAAAGCAAUGGCUCAGGGUGCCUGGGUGGCGCAGUCGGUUAAGCGUCCGACUUCAGCCAGGUCACGAUCUCGCGGUCCGUGAGUUCGAGCCCCGAGUCAGGCUCUGGGCUGAUGGCUCGGAGCCUGGAGCCUGUUUCCGAUUCUGUGUCUCCCUCUCUCUCUGCCCCUCCCCCGUUCAUGCUCUGUCUCUCUCUGUCCCAAAAAUAAAUAAACGUUGAAAAAAAAAAUUAAAAAAAAAAAAAAAAAAAAAAGCAAUGGCUCACAGAUGUCCUAGAUGUCACUGUGUGGAAGAAGGAUGUCCUUCAGAUGGAGAGAAGAGUUUGCUGCUUUUCAUGAGCUCUGAAAGCUCACAUGUGUGCCAGACCCACUGUAUAGCUGGAGUCUUUUCAUGUCAUUUCCCUGCCCUGCCGAGAUAUUGUGAAAAGCCUGUAGUGAUUCAUAAGAAAGCCUUUUGAUUCUAGGGACGGAGAAGACAUGGAGUCCAGCUUUGCCACAACUUUUUCAAACCUUAGUUACCCCAUUACUAAAGGGGCUAGAUUGUACAACAACAGCCAGAAUUCACUAAGUGCUAUGUUUUAUGGCCAGAUCUGAUUUUUUCUUGGCAUUAUCUCAGGUAAGCCUUACAAACAACUCUAUGAGGUUGCCCUUACUAUGAACCUGUCCUAUGAUGAAGACGACAAAGACAAGAGGAAUUGAACAGCUCAUCCCAGGUCACACGGCCAGUAAGUGGGAGAGCUAGGAUUGGAACCCAGGUGAUCUGAGUCCAUGGAUGGGCUUUUGAACUCUGUACUCUAUGUCAGUAGUGGUUCCUUUUAGCAGAGUCCAUCUGAAAGUCUAAAAAAAAUAUCUGCUAUCCUGUGCUUUUAAAUCUUGAAAUUAUUCUCUACAUCUUCUCUUAUCACCAGGUAGGUAUUAUUUGCCUGCUGAUGUUGGUUCUUUGCCCUGCUGACUUCUCUUCCUUGCUCCAGUCCUGCUCACUGACCACAUAUAUGAUUGGGAUCCCUAGCCUUGGAAAGUCCAUGAGCAUAGAUUUAUUGGAACCCAGCAGCACCUCAGAACCCAAAGAAACCUACUUGCUCCCAGGAAAGCUCUAUAUCCCAAAAGGUUGAAGACCUUCCAGGGAGAAUAAGCUUCUCACUCUAGAUCUGAAAAGCUUGUACUCCCCCCACCCCCACAGUUCAAAUAUUUGAAACUGGUUUCGCAGUCUUAAUUGCCUCUGACUCCAAGGCAAUAGCAAGAUUAGUCAAAGAGCUAAUUAUGCAGAUUUCUCUAUUAGAUUUCUUCAGCCUAACAGAUUCUGAAAGCACUUGCCUGUCUACCGUAGAGAAAACAUUGAUUUCUGUGGCCAGACACUCACUGGGCAGAAAUUUCAGAUCAGGUCCCACUGUGUUACAUGUGGAAUUGAAUAAUAAUGCUAGCUGGAAUGGACAUUGAAAAGUUCUAAUCCAAGGCUGUCUGGUGCUGUUUUAUUAUAGUCAUGCAGCUACCUACCCCUUUAUCUACUGGCCCACCAGCAGGACCAGAGUAUGCUAGUAAUAGAACAGAAUUCUCACUGGAUUGUUUGGCUUUCUUUCUACUUGUUGGUGGAAAAAUGGGCUGGUAAAACAUUUGGGUGGGUUGAAAUGCUUUUAUACAUAAUUAUAAAGCAGUAACAACUCAAAGGUCUGUUUCUUUCCAAUGUUAAGAAACCGAUUUUAAAAUCUCAGUAUGUGUUUCAGAGUUAGUUGACAGAAGUUUAAAGACCCCCUUAUAUUCCAAAUCUAAAUAGUACAAAUAAAGGAGUACCAUUCGACAGAGACAAGAAGAAACUUAAGACCAGCAACACAACUAUGAGUUCACUUUUCAUUUAUCAGCUGAAUUUCUACUUCUUAUGAUCAGCUGGUUUAAGGAUGCCUUGCUUAUAGCCCCACCUCUGCUACAAAUUAAUUGUAUGAUGUUGACCAAAUCACUUAACUGCUGCUUAUUCAUUAAAAAUGACAGAGGUGAUUGUAAUAUCAAAAAUAUCACUCACCUGAAAGCAGAGGCUUAGGUCAAUACAGAUACGUUUAAACCCUGGCUUCAACAUGUAUUAGCUUUGUGACUCUGGCCAAGUAUAAGCCUCAGUGUUUUCAUCUGUGAAGUAGGUACUAAUACACAACGCCUUAUAGGGUAUUGUAAAGAAUGAACUAGAUAAUGCACAUAAAGGGUGUUACACAGUGGUUCUCACUGGGGAUAACUGUGCCCUCUUCCCCAGGGUAUAUUCAACAAUGUCUGAAGACAUUAUAUUGGUUGGCACAACGGGGUGGAGGGAUGUGACUGGCAUCUAGGGAGUAGAGGCAAAGGACGGUUUUCAACAUCCCACACGCACAGAACAGCAUCCCACAACAAAUCCGUUAUCUUGUAGAGGUUGGGAAACCUUGGACAUAACUAAUGGCUCACUGUCAGCACUCAAUACAUGGUGGUGGUGGUGGCUUUGUUGGCUCCAGAGACCGACACGUUGAAGAGAGUACAACAAUCUUGGGGCAUGUAAGCGCUCUAUGAGAAUACAUUUUUCUCUUGGAAAAGGAAAUUGUUUUUCCUUCAGGGCUCUUAUCUGAUCAGAUCAGAAAAGUUCUAGGUCCGGCAUGAGGCCUGUGUCUUUACACCCAAGACCUACGGACACCAACAGAAUGUUUAUCCCACAUCUAUCUCAAGUCCAGAUUCAGCCAAAUAACAUAAGACCCUGGGAUUUUCCACUAUUCUAUCAACCUAAACAGAAAGGGCUCCAAACUUAAUUAAUUUGCAUUCAAAUUCCUCCCUUUCUCACUAUUAAUUCCAAUAAUAAUUUACUGUAGGUCAACCAUAAAUCAUUUACUCCAAAAAGUCCUAAGCAGUAAUUACUCCUUUCCAAUUCAGUGCACUAAAUUAGAUUAUAAUUAUUAGUCACACUUGCAGCUUUUAUUUAGACUCCAACUCCAGCCAACACAAAACAAAAUGUUUGGAAUGUUUAUAAGCACUUUCUUUCUUUUUAACUUGACAGGAUUUUUUGUUUUUGUGUUUUUGUUUUUUACAUUCAAUAGAAACCAUGAUAUAAAAAUUGGGUUUGCUUGACAUCAUGCAUAUUAUAAGAAUGAGCAACCUGGCAGACAUCCACACACACAGUUCCACAACCUCCAUGGACCUGGCAGGCCAGAGGAAGGUGAUGUUAUCAAAGCAUAAUAAGAGGUCCACUGGCCCUAGGUGAUUUUUCCAAGGGGUCUAUAAGGUAGCCUGAAAAUCUCAUGUAUUUUUUAGGGUUUACUGUUAGUGUCCUUCUCACCUACUAGACUUCAAGCUCCAGGAAGAAGCAUAGCAUAAUGACAGGAAAAAUGAACUUGGGAGUCAGAUUUUGUGAAUUCAUAUACCUGUCCUAACCAGUUCACGUACCAGCACUAGGAUUUGGGGAAGGUUCUUUCAAACUCAAUUUCUCAUUCAAAAUUGUAUAUUCUGUUAAUAGUGUCUGUAUUACAAAGUUGUGGCGAGAGUAAAACAAAAUAAUGCCGAGGACCUAGUAGGAGCUUAAUCAAUAUUGCCCAUUACUAUGUCAUCAUUAGGGUAAAGACUGUGUCUGUUCUGUUCACCAGUGUAGACUUAAUUCCCAGUACACUGCUUGAAGGGAUUAUUGGCUUAAGAAACAGUUGUCAAAUGAUUGAAAUGUAGACUACUGGCUAGCAGGAUAACUUUGGGCAGUUUACUCAACCUCCCUGAACCUUACCAUAUUGAUCUACAGAGCGGAGAGGGUUGUUAUGAAAAUUAAAUGAGAUAAUGUUUGUGUCAAUGCCUGACAUAAAGCAUUUGCUUCAUAAAUGUUGGUUGUUAUUAUUAUUAAGAUGGCUCCUAUGGUGGAGUGCCUUGCUGGCUCAGUUGGUAGAGCAUGUGACUCUUGACCUUGGGGUCAUGAGUUCAAGCCCCAUGUUGCGUGUAGAGCUUACCUAAAAAAACAAAACAACGAGAUUACUUCCACGGUUAGCUAUAUGUGCCUUGAACAGAUCUCUUAAUUCUAAACUCUGGUUUCCAUAUAUGAACACAUAGGCAUUGAUUCAAUUUCUCGGCUGGAAGUGGAGGGUUUUUGUUGUAGGCAGUGGUGAGGGUUUGCCGGGAAGGUGUGACGGAGAGAGGGUAUUUAUAAUGGACUGAUCAUAAUGGUGAGCCAUGAAGAGCACAGAUGGAAGCGAGGAUGUAAGAGGGUAAAUGAAUAAGGAAAAAACUGCAGACUCACUGGAAUGUAGUCCUCCUAUUCUCUGCUGGAGCAGAAGUACCAGAAUAAAGGAGGCAGCAGUGUGGCAAGACAGAGCAGGAGGUUUGAAAGGACUUUUUGGAAGAGGUGUAGGUAUAGGUGUUAACGUCAAUUCCUCACAUAGCACUUUAUGCACAUUAACAUACAAAAAAAUAUUUGCCACAGAAUGGAUACUUUGAGCCUUCUUUUCCCUGGAAGAGGCUUGUGAGGAAAAUUUCAACUACAAAUGAAACUAUUUCCCACAUAUCCUUUUCCUGUUGUCCUAUUGACAUGCAGAAUCGGUGCUACUCUCUGUCAUUCAUUCAGUAAAUAUUCACUGAGGGCCUACCACGUAGCAGGCACUGUUCUGUAAUCUUGGGACACAGCACUGUAUUAACCUCCCAAAGUGGGAAUUUCUUUUUAUACAGUUCAACUGAAUUUUCAUGAACCAAACAAAGAUCUCUGAUCUCUGCCUGUGUGGAGCUUUCAUUCUGAUAGAAACACAUGAUGAUGAAAAUCAAUCCUAAGUCAUUUAAAAAAAUUUUUUUUUAAUGUUUAUUUAUUAUUGAGAGACAGACACAGAGCAUGAGCAGGGGAGGGGUAGAGAGAGGGAGGAGACACAGAAUCCGAAGUAGGCUCCAGGAUAUGAGCUGUCAGCACAGAGCCAGACGCAGGGCUUGAACUCACAAACUGUGAGAUCAUGACCUGAGCCGGUCGGUCGCCCAACUGACUGAGCCACCCAGGCACCCCAAUCCUAAGUCAUUAAUAAGUUAAUCGCAAUUUGUAGAAAAGAUAAGUGCUGUGGGAAAGGGAGAGUGGAGCAAGAAACGGAGGCUCAGGUGUAUCAGUGGGUCUGAUUUUAAAUACUGUGUUCAGGUUAAGCUUAAUGAGGUGACCUUUAGGUAAUAUUCAAAGGAACAAUCCCCCCCUGUCUUCUCUUGGGGAUCAAACCUCCUUUUGCUAAGGUGGCUGAGCAGUUGUCCACUCAGGAUGUCCUUCUAGAUCCCAGCAUUUGAGGGUCUCAGAUCAUCACCACCUGCUCCCCCAUUUCUAAACAUGAUUUUCUCUCUCCAGCAGGACAAAACCCCAUCAUGAAGAGGAUUUCCCACGAUACAACCCAUCAUCUGAUCCCCCAACACUGCUGAAAGACCACCGGCCCUAGUCUGUCAGGGCUUCAGAUGGCCAGUUCCCCCUCUCAGACUCCUGGGAUGGGAUCACGUACCUGGGAUGGGCCCAGCAACCCAAAGCUGGUGCCAGUGCAACCAGCAGCUACUGAUUAUGCCCAUCCCUUUUAAAAACCACUGGAGUGUCUCUAGCUCCUAAAAGAAGAUAAUUAAGGGGGUAGAAGGCCAUCAGGUGUGAAAGCAUACUUUUCAGGAAGACACCUGGGUCAGUUUCUCAUCCAAUUGUAUCGACCAUAGAGGAGACAGGAAAUAGGUGACUAUUAUCCCUGUGGUUCCCAUUGGGCCUCUGCGGGAAUAAAUGCAGUCUAUUUUCUGGGAGAUCAAUAAAAGUAAGAUCCCGUAGCUUCACCUGAAAGGGAUAUCAGUAACCGCUACUAGCUCAGUGGAAUGUUAAGAUCAAGAAAGGAGUGGAGGACCUGAAACAAAAAGUGAUAAGCAGUGGUGUCAGGAAUAUACACGAAUCCAUAAUGCUGUCUGGUAUGUGGACACUCUGAUCCUGUGUACUGGCUACUCAACUGGAUGACAGAGAAGUAACGGUCAGAAGCCUCCAGAAAUGACCCCUCUGGCCAGAGCCUAACAAAUGAAGAACUUGAGUUUCCAUAGAGAAAUAUUUCUCUACCCAAUCAAUAUAGCUUAUCUGUAAAUGGUUAGAAGAAACAUCUGUAAAAGUAUCUAUGUUAAGGUCAUUGCCAUGAAAGAGUAAGGUAGAGAGCAACUAUUUAUUUGUCUGAUUUAAUCAGGACAAACAACCCAACCAGACAAUUUGAGCCCCUAAAGAAGAAAUCAUUUUUGUCCAGUGCGUAAUGAAGACAAGUGUUUCGGUUAAGCUAGUUCUUAUAUAUUUACAUCAUUGCUUCAAUCCUUUGCUUUCUGGUCACAUUGUGAAUGCUUUUUGAGUUGGAAAGAUUCUUCAUUCAUUCAACUUGGUAUUCUUCUUCUUAAACAAGGCUUAGAAUGAAAUCAGCUAAAAACUCAAGAGUAGAAUCACUUUCAAAUUUUCCAUGCAACCUCAAUUCUAAUUUGAGAAUUCAAAAUCAAUUCUGCACUCAUUGAGAUAAUUGUUUGAGCUUUGAGCUUCCUAUUACUCUGCCAAUCAUGCCAAAUCUGUUGGGAGGUUUUUAGCAUGAAGGAGAAAAUGAAUUUUAUCUUUUUAAAAUCUUUUAAAGAAAACAAUUAAGUUUUUUCUUUCAAUUGAACUAUUCAUUUAAGCUAGUGGGAGCAUAUGGCUUAAAAAUCAACCAAUAAGAUAAAAAUCAAAUAAACCAAUUUCUUUUUUGAAUGGUUCUGGAUUAAUAUUCACCUGGGCUAGGCUUUGAAAUAAUCUAGUCUGAUAGUUCUUAUCCUUUUUUGGGUCAGGGAUUCCUUUGAGAAUCUAAUAGAAGCUAUGGAUCCUCACUCCAGAAAAGCUGUAUGUGUAUAAUUUCAAGGGCUUUAUGGACCUAGUGGCUAUAUGGAAUCUAUAUUCAAAAAUCUGUAAUCCAGAUCAAGCCUCUCCCUUUUUGAUUAGGAAAAAAUCUAUGAAGUUCCAGUUCAAGAUGGCAAGUAGGAAGAUCCUAAGCUCACCUCCUCCCACAGACACAGCGAAUCCAUAGCUGCAUAUGGGACAAUUUCCUCUUGACAAGACCUAAGGGCUGGCUGAAUGAUAACUGCACAUUGGGUGGGCAAAUAAGAAGAAAACCGUAUCAGAACAGGUGGGAGAGGCAGGACACAAUCUCACCGUAAACCCUACCACCAGCGCAGGGUCCCAAUUAACAUUGUUGGUUUUCUCAUUUUGUCAGUAAUUCAUAGUGUGGUCUGCUUCUAGCACACCACAUUUGGAAAGCCAAGGGACACUUUUUUCUUCUUUAUCCUUCCAGUUUGUUCAAUUCACAUAUUGGGGAAAACAUUGGUUUGCUCCCCCAAUUCUUUAGCUGCUGUCUACUGCAAUAAGCAAGCUUGCAUUUCUCAGGUUGUAUUAUUUCUUUUUUCUUGCCAAGAUAAUGGAAGAAUAUAAGCCCUCCCAGGCACAUCACACUGAGAAUACUGGGGGCGGGGACUGGACAAAAUAGUUUUUGUGAAGGAAUUAAUGGCUGACAUUUACAGCAUACUUACUUUGUGUUUGGUGCAUAGAUGUAUUUUGGGUUUUAACACAAACUUUGCCUCCUCAGUUAUUCCACUUCUUUACUCUAGAAAUUCAUCAAACCUUUCACAAACAAGACUCCUAAAACUUGAAUUCUUCUGAGCUACUUUCGAAAUUUGCACAACAUCUCCUUUUCCUUAACACAGUCUUAAAAUCUUCUCCCCUCCCAUUUGCUUAUGCAGAGUUGAAUACCUCCGAAAUUCCUGCUGAGUUAUUUCUGUUAUGGGAUCUGACCUGCUGUUGAGCUAGCCGACAUCUCUUUUCUUAUUUGGGUAUUCUCUCUUCCAAACCAGCCCUCCCCUGUUACUGUGUCAGUUUACAUGCCCUCUGAUCCUCUGAAAGGAUCAAGAAAGGGAGAGAGGGAGUAAGGGAGACCCAGCUGAUGUUUAUUCUGAUCAAUCCUGGCAAGCCCUUCUUCCCUAAACAUAAAACUCCUUAUCACCAGUACUUCCUAAAAUGGAUCUCAAUGUUAAUAGUUUAUUUAGGAAAAAAAAAAGUUCUGGUCCAAUAAAUUUGGGAACUGCUGACUUAAAAUCAAAUGAGUUUCUUUAUUGCAGAACUUCUUCAAGCUUUUAAUAUGCUA